rnacentral:misc_RNA from 1 species
GAAAUGCGAUAAGUAAUGUGAAUUGCAGAAUUCAGUGAAUCAUCGAAUCUUUGAACGCAGAUUGCGCUCCUUGGUAUUCCUUGGAGCAUGCCUGUUUGAGUAUCAUGAAAUCUUCAAAGUAAAUCUUUUGUUAACUCAAUUGGUUUCUACUUUGGUAUUGGAGGUCUUUGCAGCUUCACACCUGCUCCUCUUUGUUCAUUAGCUGGAUCUCAGUGUUAUGCUUGGUUCCACUCGGCGUGAUAAGUUAUCUAUCGCUGAGGACACUGUAAAAGGUGGCCAAGGUAAAUGCAGAUGAACCGCUUCUAAUAGUCCAUUGACUUGGACAAUACUUUUAUGAUCUGAUCUCAAAUCAGGUAGGACUACCCGCUGAACUUAAGC